ACGUAGGGGGCGAGCGUUAUUCGGAAUUACUGGGCGUAAAGGGUAUGUAGGCGGCUCUUCAAGUCGCGUGUCAAAGUCCAGUGCUCAACGCUGGGAGUGCGCCUGAUACUGGCGAGCUUGAGGGCUGGAGAGGUGAGCGGAAUUCCAGGUGUAGCGGUGAAAUGCGUAGAGAUCUGGAGGAAUACCGGCGGCGAAGGCGGCCCCCUGGACGAUGUCUGACGCUAAGAUGCGAAAGCGUGGGGAGCAAACAG
rnacentral:rRNA from 1 species